GUUGAGAUUAGUUGUCUCCCUCAUCAAUUCGAGGAUUAAGUUGGCCCAAAAUGUUUUUGUUUUGGAUCUCAUCCAUGAUUGGUAGUGGUAAUUGAGAUCUACAAAUUAACCUGCCACUUGAAGUUCAUGACCAACGUCUCAUGCAAUAAUGAUGAUGAUGAUGAUGUGUGUGUGUGAAAUUAUGUUGUAAAGAUGAUACACAAACAAAUGGAUAAAAAAUGAAAAUUAAAUAAACAAGAUACAUGUACAAGAAAAAAAUACAAAAUAAAAAUAAAUAAAUAAACAAAAAAUUAACUAAGU
rnacentral:lncRNA from 1 species